rnacentral:rRNA from 1 species
AUAUACGCUCGUCUCAAAGGUUAAGCCAUGCAUGUCUAAGUACAAACUAAAAUAAAGUGAAACCGCAAAAGGCUCAGUAUAACAGCUGUAAUUUCUUAGAUCAUAUUCCCAGUACUUGGAUAACUGUGGAAAAUCUAGAGCUAAUACAUGCAUAUAAUACGAGUACCCGUCAAAAGGUUCUCGUGCAGUUAUUAGACAAACCAAUCAACCGCUUCGGUGGAUGUUUAAUGUGGUGGAACUCUAGAUAACUUUGCUGAUCGUAUGGCCUUGUGCCGACGACAGAUCUUUCAAAUGUCUGCCCUAUCAACUUUGAUGGUAGUAUAGAGGACUACCAUGGUUGCUACGGGUAACGGGGAAUCAGGGUUCGAUUCCGGAGAGGGAGCCUGAGAAAUGGCUACUACUUCUAAGGAUCGGCAGCAGGCGCGUAAAUUACCCACUCCCGGCACGGGGAGGUAGUGACGAAAAAUAACAAUAUAGAACUAAUUAUUUAGUUCUGUAAUUGGAAUGAAUCGAGUAUAAAUCCUUCAAUGAGGAUCAAGUGGAGGGCAAGUCUGGUGCCAGCAGCCGCGGUAAUUCCAGCUCCACUAGCGUAUGUUAAAAUUGUUGCGGUUAAAACGUUCGAAGUUCAUUUUUGUUCAGUACGGGUGUGACGCCAUCAAGUUAUGGCUGUCAUCAUUUCCGAUUACUUGAACUACAUGACUGAACACUUAAUGAAUAGCACCGAUGCCUUUCACUAGGCUAAGUGUCUAUUUAGUUCGGCUUACUUUUACCUUGAACAAAUUAAGGUGCUCAAAGCAGGCUCUAAUGCCUUGAAUAUUUUUGCAUGGAAUAAUGGAAAAAGACCUCGGUCUUAUAGGUAU